UACGAAGGGGGCUAGCGUUGCUCGGAAUCACUGGGCGUAAAGGGUGCGUAGGCGGGUCUUUAAGUCAGGGGUGAAAUCCUGGAGCUCAACUCCAGAACUGCCUUUGAUACUGAAGAUCUUGAGUUCGGGAGAGGUGAGUGGAACUCCGAGUGUAGAGGUGAAAUUCGUAGAUAUUCGGAAGAACACCAGUGGCGAAGGCGGCUCACUGGCCCGGUACUGACGCUGAGAUACGAAAGCGUGGGGAGCAAACAGG
rnacentral:rRNA from 1 species